CCAGGCUGCACCCAGAGACACAAUCCGCAGCAGCCCCCUGGGCCUGUCCAGUGACCAGCCAGUCCCCUGAGAACUUUCCCCUCCAGCACCUGGGAAAAUGAGGCUUUGGCUCUAUUUAGGGUUCCUUACAGCAGCUUUGGAAGUGUUUCUAUUCCCAGGUGUCCGGUCCCAGGUGCAGCUGGUGGAGUCCGGAGGGGAUGUGAAGAAGCCCGGAGACUCUCUCCGCCUCUCCUGCAAAGCCUCCGGCUUCACCUUCAGCAGCUACCCUAUGAGCUGGGUCCGCCAGGCUCCCGGGAAGGGGCUGGAGUGGGUCUGACUCAUUUACACUGAUGGGAGCCAACAAUUUUACCCAGACUCAGUGAAAGGGAGAUUCACCAUCUCCAGGGAGAACUCCAACAACCUGCUGUAUCUGCAAAUGACCGGCCUGAAGCCCAAGGACACCGCCCGAUAUCACUGUGCGAGAGGCGGUGCAGUAGCUGGAGUUUUUGACUACUGGGGCCAAGGGACCAUGGUCACCGUCACUACAGUUAGCCCCACGGCCCCCUCUGUCUUCCCCCUAACCUCCUGCAUCGGCGAAGGCACCACCCCCCAGGUCACCUUCGGCUGCCUGGCCAAAGGAUACUUCCCCGAGCCGGUCACCGUGACAUGGAGCCCAAACGUCACCCCCUCGGGCGUGAAGACCUAUCCCUCCCUGCUGCAACCUUCCAGCGGCCUCUACACGCUCAGCAGCCAGGUCACCGUCCCGUCCAGCAGCUGGGAGUCUAACACCUAUAGCUGCAACGUAGAACACCAGCCCACCAGCCGCAGCAUCUCCAAGGAAAUCCCAAAGGGCCCGAACUCUGAACCCGAGGUGGAAGUCCUCCACUCCUGCAGCGCUGAGCCAGGCACCGUGCAGCUGGUGUGCUUCAUCUUCGGCUUCUCCCCCGAGCCUUUGACGGUGGAAUGGCUGGUGAACGGCCAGCGUGGGGAACUUCCUGGUCACACCGACCCUGCCAAGAAGGACGCCGACGGCCGCACCUUCAGCACCCGCAGCAAAGCCAGUGUCUCCCAGGACGAGUGGCUGAAGGGCAAGAAAUACACCUGCCACGUGUACCACCCGGGCACCGAUACCACAAACCAGGACCAUGCCCGCAAGUGCGAAGAAGAAACAACAUCUCCCAGCAACAUCCAGGUCUUCCCGGUGCCCCCGUCUCCCGCCGCCCUGUAUGUGGCCCAGAGCCCCAUGCUCACCUGCCUGGUGGUCAACCUGCCUAGCAACUCCAGCCUCCGGGUGGUCUGGUCCCGGGAGAAGCCAGAGCCCAUUAGCCCUGAUCGCCUGGACCUCGGUGAGCAGUUCAACGGCACCUUCACCGCCUCCAGCUCCAUGCCCAUCCUCACCCGCGACUGGGAUGCCGGAGAGACCUUCACCUGCAAAGUGGAGCACUCAGAGCUGCCCUCGCCCCUCAUCAAAUCCAUCUCCAAGAAGCCAGGCAGGCGCUCUGGCCCAGGCAUCUACCUCCUGCGCCCCCAAAACAAUGAGCUGAGCAGCAACGAAGACUCGGUCAGCCUCACCUGCCUCGUGCGGGGCUUCUUCCCCGAUGACAUCUCGGUGCAGUGGAUGAAGAACCACAAACCCGAUGAGAGCAUGGAAUACAUCACCACCCAGCCCAUCAAGGACGGAGCCGGCAACUCGAACUUCUUCCUCUACAGCAAGCUGAAAGUCAGCAAGGUCAGCUGGAACAGCGGGGACACCUACACCUGCAUGGUCAUCCACGAAGCCCUGCAGAUGAAGUUCACCCAACGCAGCGUCAGCAAAGUCUCCGCAGAGGUGAUCGUGUCAGGUGAGUUUUGCAGUGAGGAUGGAGACAAGGAGAUAGACAGCCUCUGGUCCACCAUCUCGGUCUUCAUCACCCUCUUCCUCUUGAGCGUGUGCUACAGUGCCACCAUGACCCUGUUAAAGGUGAAGUGGCUGUUCUCCGCCAUGGUGCAGCUGAGGCAGGCGAGUGGCCCCGAGUACAAGAACGUUGUCCAGCGCGUGGUGUAGGGGCCGCUGCCCCCGUCCACCCGGAGACAAGGGGCCGGGACUCCCGGCUCUAUUGGUGACACCACCCUGAGUCCCACAGCUGCCCCCCGCUAGCGCUGUGCCCCUGGGAGACCCCCUGGGGGGAGCGAGGAGCUCACCCCACAUGGCCUAAUCCGCCCUCAGCCACUGGGGACGCUGCCCUGCUGGGAGCUGGGCUGAGACCAGACAACUCGCUUCAUGCAGGGAACCAGCGCCCCUAGCGAGGAAACAACCCGAGUCCCAGUUCCCACCCUCCCGAGCCCAACAGCCCCCUGCUCUGGGACUGGAUCAGAGCCAGCGCCCCCUAGAGCAGAAAGGCCCCAUAUCCCCUUCCCCACCCCCUGCGCCAGCCACCCCCCGCCCUGGGGCAGGACCAUAGCCAGAGUUGUGUCUGUCGUGCUGUAUGUUGCAUAUUUAGCUCUUCAUUGGGAUUUUUAUGGGUGGUGUGUGGGUGUGACUUUUGUUGUGUGCACUGAGUGACAAUAAAUAAAUAAAUAAACAAAUCA